rnacentral:rRNA from 1 species
UGAGUAACACGUGAGUGACCUGCCUUUUAGACUGGAACAACUUACCGAAAGGUGAGCUAAUGCCGGAUGAGUUAUAUAGGUGCAUGUUUAUAUAGGAAAAGUUGGGGAGACCUGACGCUGAAAGAUGGACUCGCGUCCCAUUAGCUAGUUGGUAGGGUAAUGGCCUACCAAGGCGACGAUGGGUAGCCGGCCUGAGAGGGUGGCCGGCCACACUGGGACUGAGACACGGCCCAGACUCCUACGGGAGGCAGCAG